rnacentral:rRNA from 1 species
UAUGGGGGGGGCAAGCGUUGUUCGGAAUUACUGGGCGUAAAGGGCUCGUAGGUGGCCAACUAAGUCAGACGUGAAAUCCCCAGGCUCAACUUGGGAACUGCGUCUGAUACUGGAUGGCUUGAAUUCGGGAGAGGGAUGCAGAAUUCCUGGUGUAGCGGUGAAAUGCGCAGAUAUCAGGAAGAACACCCGUGGCUAAGGCGGCUCUCUAGUACGGUACUGACGCUGAGACGCGAAAGCGUGGGGAGCGAACAGG